rnacentral:rRNA from 1 species
UACGAAGGGGGCUAGCGUUGUUCGGAUUUACUGGGCGUAAAGCGCACGUAGGCGGAUCGUUAAGUCGGGGGUGAAAUCCUGGAGCUCAACUCCAGAACUGCCUUCGAUACUGGCGAUCUUGAGUCCGGAAGAGGUGAGUGGAACUCCUAGUGUAGAGGUGGAAUUCGUAGAUAUUAGGAAGAACACCAGUGGCGAAGGCGGCUCACUGGACUGGUAUUGACGCUGAGGUGCGAAAGCGUGGGGAGCAAACAGG